UCAAGUAAUUCAAUCCAACGACUUCCAAUCCAAAUUUGAUUAAAAAAAUCGAUUGUCAACCUUAAUGUCAAAUUACUGAGAGAGUGUGGGCUUUGGGACAGGAAGCACGAGAAAACAGUGCGCUCUUGAAGUAUGAAAAAUACUGCUUUAAAUAUCUUUGCGCUUUGGUAGACGCUAAACGGGGUUCGUCUGACAGUGCCAGAGAGGAUUCAGCUGCCUUUCUUCCCCUUAAUCCCUACUCCUCUUGUAGCCACCGACCUCAGAGAUGCGUGCAGAGUUGCCACACCAGGUGGGUUUAGAAUCUCAAAGGGCGGGAGGGUGAGUGUUAGCGAGUCUUUUGGUAGAUGCCUUGGGGCUGAUGAAAGGUUGUAGGGCAACAAAAAAAAAAGAGAAGAAAAGCUGGAGUGGCAGGUUACAUGACUAGACCAUUUGCCGGAAGAUUGGCAGGCAGCUUUUAACUCCUUCUUAAUGAGCCCUAAGCACCCUCCAGGCAAUGUCAGUUUGGGGGAAUAACAGUUUCAUCUUCCAGAUGCUUUUUCCUCGAUUUAUGUCGUCUGGAGUUCUGGAGUGGAGCUGUUGCCCUGGGUUGGUGCGCUGAAGACCACCAUUGCAGUCACAGCUGGUAAGGGGCAGCCCUGCACAGAGAGGACCAGGACAACCCCAGUCGCACCUUUCCUGCAAAUGCAGUGCCACUGGUAUCCAGAGGUUUAAACCUGACUCUUCUAGAGAGGAGGCUAGAGAACUCAGGGUGAGUAGUUUGCUGCCAUCCCCCUGUGAAGCAAAUCUCUGUGUGGUUCUGCUGACUCUGCUUCCUGUGAAAGGGUGGUUACUUUCCUAUCUUGUGCCGAGUGCCAUUUUAUAUCCUCCUUGUAAUCAAUUAUUGGUUACUAAGUUCCCAUUUGUCUAGGCCAAAAAAAUGAGUAUUUAUUCCUGUUAUUUAAUCUCUACUUGGAACUUGGCCCCAAACUCUGGAAAGUAAGGUGCCUCACAUUUGCUCUUAGAACUUGCUGCUUGCUGUUGAUCUCCUGCCUUGCCCUUGCUUGGUAGGCACUCUGCUUUUGAAACUUGGACACCCUGUAUACAAGCUGCCUUCGUCUAUUCGCUUAUUCAGUCAUUUUUCCAAAACUCAACAAAGACUGAUCUCCCAAAUUAGAACUACUUUUGAACUCACGUGUUUUGUUUUGUUUUUUUCCUAUCGGUGUAUUCUCGAUCUAAUGCUCUGACAUCUGGCGUAGGUUCCCAGUUUGUACGUGUUGGCUGCUCUACUCUGACCACAUUCUGAUCCUAUCACUAGACCAAGUCUGUUUUUGAGGAUGGUAUGCAUAUGGGCUAGAUAUUAAAACAUUUGAAAAGUCAGGAACGUUUAAAGUAACUGCUCAUCAUACAAGUGUAACUUGAUUAUUGAAGAUUCUUAUGUUCUAUUUUCAAUAAAAGGUUUUUAGUGAUUCUUCA
rnacentral:lncRNA from 1 species